rnacentral:tRNA from 1 species
CGUCGCGCAUCGUGGCUUACCGCGACGAAAGUCGGUUCGAGAUGGGCUACAAACCGCUGCCACUGCCCGAAGCGGAGGGUGCCACCUUCCGCGAUGGC